rnacentral:rRNA from 1 species
GACGAACGCUGGCGGCGUGCUUAACACAUGCAAGUCGAACGGAAAGGCCCUGCUUUUGUGGGGUGCUCGAGUGGCGAACGGGUGAGUAACACGUGAGUAACCUGCCCUUGACUUUGGGAUAACUUCAGGAAACUGGGGCUACUAUCGGAUAGGAGCUCCUGCAGCAUGGUGGGCGUUGGAAAGUUUCGGCGGUGGGGGAUGGACGCGCGGCUUAUCAGCUUGUUGGUGGGGUAGUGGUGUACCAAGCCUUUGACGGGUAGCCGGCCUGAGAGGGUGACCGGGCACAUGGGGACUAAGAUACGGACCAGACGCCUACGGGGGACAGCAGUGGGAAAUAUUGCCCAAUGAGCGGAAGCCUGAUGCAGCAGCGCCGGGUGCGGAAAGACGGUCUUUGGGUUAUAAACCGCAUUCGGCUGUGACGAAGCGUUAGUGACGGUAAUGAGUAAAGAAGCACCGGCUAACUACGUG